rnacentral:ncRNA from 1 species
UGCGAUGAGUCGAGAGAAUCUUCAUUUAGAAGAUUUUUACAAACGGCCUAUAUUAACAGCCGCAUGCUGGUAGGUGAUUAAACGUGUUGUGGAACAC